rnacentral:rRNA from 6 species
CUGCCAGUAGUCAUAUGCUUGUCUCAAAGAUUAAGCCAUGCAUGUCUCAGUACAAGCCAAAUUAAGGUGAAACCGCGAAAGGCUCAUUAAAUCAGUUAUGGUUCCUUAGAUCGUACCCACAAUUACUUGGAUAACUGUGGUAAUUCUAGAGCUAAUACAUGCAAACAGAGCUCCGACCGGAGACGGAAGGAGUGCUUUUAUUAGAUCAAAACCAAUCGGUGGCGGGUUCGCUCGUCAUCGUACAACUUGGUGACUCUGAAUAACUUUACGCUGAUCGCACGGUCUCGCACCGGCGACGCAUCUUUCAAAUGUCUGCCUUAUCAACUGUCGAUGGUAGGUUCUGCGCCUACCAUGGUUGUAACGGGUAACGGGGAAUCAGGGUUCGAUUCCGGAGAGGGAGCCUGAGAAACGGCUACCACAUCCAAGGAAGGCAGCAGGCGCGCAAAUUACCCACUCCCGGCACGGGGAGGUAGUGACGAAAAAUAACGAUACGGGACUCAUCCGAGGCCCCGUAAUCGGAAUGAGUACACUCUAAACCCUUUAACGAGGAUCAAUUGGAGGGCAAGUCUGGUGCCAGCAGCCGCGGUAAUUCCAGCUCCAAUAGCGUAUAUUAAAGU